ACCGGAUGUCUUAGGCCUCGUACCGCACUGAAUUAAUAUAAUUUUAAUGCAGUGCGGAACGAGGCUAAAACGUCCCAU
rnacentral:pre_miRNA from 1 species